AGUUGAGCGGAGAUAUAUGGAGCUUGCUUUAUAUAACUUAGCAGCGAACGGGUGAGUAACACGUAGAUAAUCUAUCCUAUACUGGGGGAUAGCCCGAUGAAAGUUGGAUUAAUACCGCAUAUAGCUAUAUAGUUGCAUGAUUAUGUAGUGAAAGAUUUAUUGGUAUAGGAGGAGUCUGCGGCACAUUAGCUAGUAGGUGAGGUAAAGGCUUACCUAGGCGACGAUGUGUAGCCGGUCUGAGAGGAUGAACGGCCACAAUGGAACUGAGACACGGUCCAUACUCCUACGGGAGGCAGCAGUGGGGAAUAUUGCACAAUGGGGGAAACCCUGAUGCAGCAACGCCGCGUGAGUGAAGAAGGUUUUCGGAUUGUAAAGCUCUGUUAGCAGGGAAGAGGAAGGACGGUACCUGCAGAGGAAGCCACGGCUAACUACGUGCCAGCAGCCGCGGUAAUACGUAGGUGGCAAGCGUUGUUCGGAAUAACUGGGCGUAAAGGAUGCGUAGGCGGUUAAACAAGUUAUAUGUUAAAUAUAUAGGCUUAACCUGUAGAAAGCAUAUAAAACUGUUUAACUAGAGUGCAGGAGAGGUAAGUGGAAUUCCUAGUGUAGCGGUGAAAUGCGUAGAGAUUAGGAAGAACACCAGUGGCGAAGGCGACUUACUGGACUGUAACUGACGCUGAGGCAUGAGAGCAUGGGGAGCAAACAGGAUUAGAUACCCUGGUAGUCCAUGCUGUAAACGAUGGGUACUAGGUGUGGGUUGUGAAUAACAA
rnacentral:rRNA from 1 species